rnacentral:rRNA from 1 species
GGGGAAUUUUCCGCAAUGGGCGAAAGCCUGACGGAGCAAUACCGCGUGAGGGAUGACGGCCUGUGGGUUGUAAACCUCUUUUCUCAAGGAAGAAGUUCUGACGGUACUUGAGGAAUAAGCAUCGGCUAACUCUGUGCCAGCAGCCGCGGUAAUACAGAGGAUGCAAGCGUUAUCCGGAAUCACUGGGCAUAAAGCGUCUGUAGGUGGUUUGGUAAGUCUGCUGUUAAAGACUGGGGCUCAACCCCAGAAAAGCAGUGGAAACUGCCAGACUUGAGUGUGGUAGAGGUAGAGGGAAUUCCUAGUGUAGCGGUGAAAUGCGUAGAUAUUAGGAAGAACACCAAUGGCGAAGGCACUCUGCUGGACCAUAACUGACACUGAGAGACGACAGCUAGGGGAGCAAAUGGGAUUAGAUACCCCUGUAGUC